CGCGACCCCAGGUCAGGUGGGAUUACCCGCUGA
rnacentral:rRNA from 1 species